rnacentral:rRNA from 1 species
AAUCGAACUCGGAGAUAGCUGGUUCUCCCCGAAAUAGCUUUAGGGCUAGCGUUAUCUUAGAUUACCGGAGGUAAAGCACUGAAUGGGCUAGGGGGCGAUAAGCUUACUGAACCCUAUCAAACUCAGAAUGCCGGCUAAUUGAUGGAUAGCAGUCAGACAGUGUGAGAUAAGUUUCAUUGUCAAAAGGGAAACAGCCCAGACCCACAGCUAAGGUCCCUAAUGUAUGCUAAGUGGAAAACGAUGUGGAAUUGCGAAAACAACCAGGAUGUUGGCUUAGAAGCAGCCACUCAUUAAAAGAGUGCGUAAUAGCUCACUGGUCGAGUGACUCUGCGCGGAAAAUAUAACGGGGCUAAGCAUACAACCGAAGCUUGGGAUUGUCUAAAGACAGUGGUAGGGGAGCGUCGUGUAUGGGGUGAAGUCGCAUCGGAAGGAGCGGUGGACUGUACACGAGUGAGAAUGCCGGAAUGAGUAGCGAGAAUUAUGUGGGAAUCAUAAUGGCCGAAAAUCUAAGGUUUCUUGGGGAAGGUUCGUCCGCCCAAGGUAAGCCGGGAGCUAAGGCGAGGCCGCAAGGCGUAGUCGAUGCACAUACGGUAAAGAUUCCGUAGCCGCCGAACUUUAAGUCAGAGGGACACUUGCAGAUAGCGGAACCCAGCCGUUGGUUGAGCUGGGCGAAAGGGACUGAAAUUAGUAGGGAAGUCCGCGAUGCUGAAAGGCGAGAAAAGCUCUGAUGGAUACUAAGGCGCCCGUACCGCAAACCGACACAGGUAGAUGAGGAGAGAAUCCUAAGGCCAACGGGAGAAGGGUUGUUAAGGAACUCGGCAAAUUGACCCCGUAACUUCGGAAGAAGGGGAGCCCCGAAAGGGGCCGCAGUGAAUAGGCCCAAGCAACUGUUUACCAAAAACACAGGUUUAUGCUAAAUCGAAAGAUGACGUAUAUGAGCUGACGCCUGCCCGGUGCCGGAAGGUUAAGAGGAGAGCUUAGAGGCAACUCGAAGGUUUGAAUUGAAGCCCCGGUAAACGGCGGCCGUAACUAUAACGGUCCUAAGGUAGCGAAAUUCCUUGUCAGGUAAGUUCUGACCCGCACGAAUGGCGUAACGAUUUGGGCGCUGUCUCAACAGCCCACCCGGCGAAAUUGUAGUACUGGUGAAGAUGCCAGUUACCCGCAACUAGACGGAAAGACCCCAUGGAGCUUUACUGCAGUUUAAUACUGGGAAUCGGUAAUUCAUGUACAGGAUAGGUGGGAGACUGAGAAGCACGGCCGUCAGGUCGUGUGGAGUCACCGGUGGGAUACCACUCUUGGAUUGCUGGUUUCCUAACCUGCGGCCCUGAAUCGGGUCGGGGGACACUGUUAGACGGGCAGUUUGACUGGGGCGGUCGCCUCCAAAAGAGUAACGGAGGCGCUCAAAGGUUCGUUCAGCACGGACGGAAAUCGUGCAUUGAGUGUAAACGCAUAAACGAGCCUAACUGCGAGACCGACGGGUCGAGCAGUAACGAAAGUUGGAGUUAGUGAUCCGGUGGUAUGUGAGUGGAAAUGCCAUCGCUCAACGGAUAAAAGCUACCCUGGGGAUAACAGGCUGAUCUCCCCCAAGCGUCCACAGCGACGGGGAGGUUUGGCACCUCGAUGUCGGCUCGUCGCAUCCUGGGGCUG